GAUGAAGAACGUAGCGAAAUGCGAUAAGUAAUGCGAAUUGCAGAAUUUCCGUGAGUCAUCGAAUCUUUGAACGUACAUUGCGCCCACUGGUAUUCCGGUGGGCAUGCCUGUUCGAGCGUCAUUAUCCUCCCUCAAACCCCGGGUUUGGUGUUGGACCGAAGUUGUGUGAACAACUGGUCUAAAAGACAAUGACGGCGUCCGUGGGACCCUCGGUGCAACGAGCUUUUAGGAGCACGCGCCCAGUUGCAAGGACCUUCCGGGCCGGUCUCCUUUUACUAUUUUACAAGGUUGACCUCGGAUCAGGUAGGAAUACCCGCUGAACUUAAGCAUAUCAAUAAGCGGAGGA
rnacentral:misc_RNA from 1 species